rnacentral:rRNA from 1 species
CGGACGUGGGUAACCUGCCUCACACAGGGGGAUAGCAGUUGGAAACGGCUGAUAAUACCGCAUAAGCGCACAGUACCGCAUGGUACAGUGUGAAAAACUCCGGUGGUGUGAGAUGGACCCGCGUCUGAUUAGCUUGUUGGCAGGGUAACGGCCUACCAAGGCAACGAUCAGUAGCUGACCUGAGAGGGUGACCGGCCACAUUGGGACUGAGACACGGCCCAG